AUUGAACGCUGGCGGCAGGCUUAACACAUGCAAGUCGAACGAGUGGCGGACGGGUGAGUAAUGCUUGGGAAUCUAGCUUAUGGAGGGGGAUAACUACGGGAAACUGUAGCUAAUACCGCGUACCAUAGGAUGAGCCCACGUGGGCUGUGGUAGUUGGGGAGGUAAAGGCUACCCAAGCCGACGAGCUCUAUCUGGUCUGAGAGGAUGACCAUGCACACUGUGACUGAUAAACGGCCCAGACUCCUACGGGAGGCAGCAGUGGGGAAUAUUGCACAAUGGGCGCAAGCCUGAUGCAGCCAUGCCGCGUGUAUGAAGAAGGCCUUAGGGUUGUAAAGUACUUUCAGCGGGGAGGCGUUACCCGCAGAAGAAGCACCGGCUAACUCCGUGCCAGCCGCCGCGGUAAUAC
rnacentral:rRNA from 1 species